GGUGCGGUGGUCGAGUGGUAACACUCUGGUCUUCCAUUCCAGAGGUCCCCGGUUCAAAUCCCGGCCGGGGCA
rnacentral:tRNA from 1 species